GCUAUCGGGGCGAAAUAGGGCUGUAAGGGGCUAUACAAUUCUAUUGGGGAGGUACAGGGGUUGUGGAGGGAUAUAGGGAGAUAUGGGACAAUAGGGGGGGUGUUAUAGGGGGAUGUAGAAUUAUAAGGGGUGUUAUAGAGGGAUAUAGGGUUAUAAGGGUUUGUGGUGGGCUGUGAGAGGGUUUGGGGUGAUAGGAGGCAGGGGGCUACAGAGAGGGAUGUUGUGCUAUGAGGGGUUGUGAGGGAGGCUGUGGGGAGGAUAUAGGGUGGCAGUGGGAGUCUAUUGGUGGGUAUAGGGAGAAUGGGGCUAUAGGGAUUAUAUGGGGGAUAUGGAUUUCAAAGGGGCUGUGUGGGGCCAUAGGGUGAUACGGGGCUAUAGGGUGGGCCAUAACGGGAUGUGGGGCUAAAAGGCUGUCCCUACCUUUGCCCCCCUACUUUUGCCCCCUCCCUUUCCCCCUUCCAUAGCAGGGUGGGUGAAAUGCUGGUCAUGAAACUUAAAUCAGAAUUGAACUUGUAUUGGAAUAGAAUAUGAUUAUUUUGUGGUCUUAAAUCUGAAACGUGUUUUCUCCUUAGAUGCAGGUAUUGUUUAUUAAGGACUUUGGAGAAGGUUUCAGUAUGAAAUCUCCUGAUCAGGAAGAAAGAGGAAUGUUUUGGAGGACUUAAUCACGAGUGGAGCUGCUGCUGACCCUCCUCUUGCAACCAGCAAGCAGGCUGGGCAGACACGGGAAGCACUGCCUGCAGCAGCAGCAGCUGAGCUCUGUGUGCCAGAGGACGGAACGCGGCGUCUGGAGGAGCAGGAGGAGGAGAGCCUGCGUGACUCUGUGUGUUCUGCAGGGCCGUUCCUCACAGACUGCCACUGACAGACGUUGGGGCACUGCAGAGCCUGUUGGUGCGGAGGAGGUAAAGCGGUGUUGGUGUGUAAUGCCAUUUGAUCUGUGUGCAUGCAGAAUGUCCCCGUGUUUGUAUUUCUCAGUGUUUGUGGCCCUGCUUUUGUUCAAAGGUGUCAGACCUCCGUGCGUCUUUGCUCCCCCUCCAGCUGGUUUGGAGAAGUGUC
rnacentral:lncRNA from 1 species